rnacentral:ncRNA from 1 species
CAGUAGAGAUGAUUUUACAAUAGAGGUGAAAAGCCUAAUCGAACUUAAUGAUUAGACUGGUUGUACCUAAGAAACGAAUUUAAGUUACUAACUUUAAAUUUAACUUAAGUACUUACAAACAUUAUUUAAAUUUAAAUGUUAACUCAAAAGAGGGACAACUCUUUUGAUAUGUAGACAAACUUUUCUAGAGGAUAAUGGAAUUCACUCAAAACAUUGUAGGCCUAAAAGCAGCCAUCAAUUAAGAAAGCGUUAAAGCUCAAACUUACCUAAUAUUUAAUACCAAUGAUUAAUCAAAAUCCCUAACCCUAUAUUGGACAAUUCUAUAAUAAUUUAGAAGAUAUAAUGCUAAUAUGAGUAACCUGAAUAUAUUCUCCUUGCACAAGCAUAAAUAUAGAUCGGAACAACCGCUUACACUUAACCAAACAAAUAACUACAACCAUACACUAGUACCCUACUAUACAUUUUGUUAACCCAACCCAGGUGUGCAUAUAAAGGAAAGAUUAAAAGGAAUAAAAGGAACUCUGCAAACAUGAGCCCCGCCUGUUUACCAAAAACAUCACCUCUAGCAUUUACCAGUAUUAGAGGCACUGCCUGCCCAGUUAAAUUAUGACUUUAACGGCAGUAUCCUUAUCCUGCAAAGGUAGCAUAACCACUUCUCUUAAUUGGAGACUAGUAUGAAUGGCAUCACAGUGGCCUCAACUGUCUCUUAUUCCCAAUCAGUGAAAUUGACCUUCCCGUGCAGAGGUGGGAAUGUUUAUACAAACUGAGAAGACCCUGUGGAGCUUAAGUCGCAUAACUCAACAAAUACCAACAUAUAACCUACCGGAACAACCCGUAUAAGCCCCUGAGUUGUAGUCUUUGGUUGGGGUGACCUCGGAGCAUAAAAUAACCUCCGAAUGAAUAUAACCCAGAUUAACGAAUCCAAGUGUAACAAUACCAGUAAUUGACCCAUCUUUUGAUCAACGGAACAAGUUACCCCAGGGAUAACAGCGCAAUCCUAUUUGAGAGCCCAUAUCGAAAAUUAGGGUUUACGACCUCAAUGUUGGAUCAGGACACCCAAAUGGUGCAACCGCUAUUAAAGGUUCAUUUGUUCAACGAUUAAAGUCCUACGUGAUCUGAGUUCAGACCGGAGAAAUCCAGGUCGGUUUCUAUCUGUAAAUUCAUUUCUCCCAGUAUGAAAGGACAAGAGAAAUAGGGCCAACAUCUCCAAUAAGCCCUAGAGCCUACAUAUGAAUCAAUCUAAAUAUACUAAAUCAAUUUAUGUGCCCCCGAGAACCAGGGUUGUUUAAGAUGGUAGAGCUGGUAAUUGC